rnacentral:rRNA from 1 species
GUCUACGGCCAUACCACCCUGAACGCGCCCGAUCUCGUCUGAUCUCGGAAGCUAAGCAGGGUCGGGCCUGGUUAGUACUUGGAUGGGAGAGUAUGACACCUGUGGUGUAGCUG